rnacentral:miRNA from 1 species
GCGGGUCAGCAGCUGCCCCAGCUGCCUCAGUCAUCGCAGCUCCAGCAGCAGCAGCAGCAGCAGCAGCAGCAGCAGCAACAGCAGCAACAGCAACAGCAGCCUCAGCCGC